AGUGGAAUAGCUGGGUCAGAUGGUGGUUCCAUUCCAGAUUUUGUAAGGAAUCUCCACACUGCAUUCCAGAGUGGUUGCACCAAUUUUCAGUCCCACUAGCAAA
rnacentral:pre_miRNA from 1 species